rnacentral:misc_RNA from 1 species
UGUCCCAGAACUCACUCUUUGUGACACAGUUCAUAAAUGCCAUGAUUCCAAGUCUAGAACAGCAAAAUCCAUAAAUAUGAAACUAGGCUAAAUAUUUGGCCAUAAUGCCCGCUGUCUGCUUUAUUAGAAGCUGAUAACAUAGGCAGGAUGAACCUAGCUACUGCAAAAACUGCAUCAGAUCAGAAGAGGGCGGGGAGCAACUAAUCUGCACAAGUUUACAAUUAUAGAACAGACCUAUAUACUAAAAGACAACUGAGACGAAAUCACUGUACAAAAUCACUUUACUCUCCUACUACUACUCUGUUUCCUCCUGAUUAGCCAUGAAGAUAAUUGCAUUUAUCACCCUUUAUGCAUCGAUUGUUUGUAUUAUAUGGGCAGGGCACAUUAUUCUUUUUGAAGCCACCUCUAGACGGCCCUCUACUCCCAAAAGACGAUUGCCUAUCCCAGUUCCUACCCUUGUCCCUCUGACCAGAGAAUCUCCCAUCUUGAUGCUGAUCAUUAUUUCUUGUGCCCCGAUUCCCAUUAGCUCCACCCCUACCUUGAUUUGAAUCUCCAUGAGGUAGCGGUCUUUGGACAAGUGCUCCAGGAUUUCCACUUCCCAUACCCCACCCAUUACCAGAUGUAGGCCCUUGAAUAGUUGAACCCAUGCUCCCUGUUGGAGCAACCCAACCUGGAUUGGCAUUCCCAGGUGUCAAGCCCUGAACACCAGCAUUCCCAGAUUGUGCAACCCAUCCAGGAUUCAGAUUCCCAGGGAGUGGCCCAGUCGGAGCCCAACCAGGAUUUACAGCCCCCGGAGGCAUUGCCUGAACUGCUCCCCAAUUUACAUUCAUGACUGCUGGUACGGGUCCUCCCCAGCCCACAUUUGGAUUUCCAGGCAUCAUACCCCAGCCAGUGUUAUUCUCAGGUCUUAAUGCUGAAGCAGAACUCGCAUUCUCUUGCAAACCAGCACCCCAUGGAACACUAGGCACAGUUGUAGGCUGUAUGAUCUGUUGGCUGCCUUGAGCUGGUGUGCUCCAAUAAUCAGGCUGAGGCAAAACUGAGGCACCUGCAUUUGAAAAAUUGCCAGCAAGAUUCUGUACAGAUGAGGAUGUAGUACCCCAAUUACCAUAUCCCUGGGACUGCCCUGGUGCCAGAGCAGAAAUGUUCGGCUCUCCCUUAGAAGGUGCUGUAGCAACCCAUGUAUGGACAUCCACACUAGGGUUCUGCAUAUUAAGAGAUACUGACUGGAGAGCUGCAUGUUGUGCACCAAGUUGGCUAUUAAUCAGUGCUGUCUGUUGCUCACUAGCAGCAAAUGAUUGAGCAUUUUGCAAAGAAUAUCCAGAUUGUGCAGCAAUGACCUGUUCAGAAGUAGGCACUAGACCAAAAUCACUACCAGAAUUCACAUAAUUAUUUUCCGAUCCCUUAAUUGAAGGCCCGCCAAAAUUUUGAACAGAAGCAGAUGCAUUAACCCCAUCAUCUGGUGGAGAUUGGAGAAUCCUGUUGCCACUAGAAUACAAAUUUGCACCUGGAACAGAUGGCCCAUCUCCCACAGCCCAACUGGCAGUAUUCUGCUUUGGAGUAGGAGAUGGGAGAUUCGAAGAAUCAUCAUUACUCCACCUCUCAGUAGAAAGCGCAGAAACAUCACCAGAAGUCAUUCCACCACCAGAAGGAACCAAACGACGAGUACUCUGAGAUCCAACAUUCUGGUCGACUCGAGGUCUCUCUCCAUUUUGAAUUUUCAGAACAGUUGCUGAAAGUAUAUUGUCAACUGCUGAUGGCAUUUUCUCAAACCUCCCUGCCAGUGCAUCAGUCAAAAGAAUAGACUCCUCUUGUUUAUCUGAAGAUCUCCAUAUUUUCAAAUCAGCGGGGAAGUAUCCUGUAUUGCUCCAUUUACGCAACUGGACAAGAGAAAAUGGUCCCUGUAUUUUACUAGAAGGGUCCUUGUAAUGCCACACUUUUUCGGCUUCAUUGAUCUUGAUGGAACUUUCUGCAACCUUACCCUGGAGUGCAGCUGGAGAAGCUACCGAUGAUGCACCAGAAAAUGACUCCAUUCUCGACAAAAAUUGGCUAUUCCGUCCCAUUGGCUCAGAAAUAACAGCAGAAGUUGGUUUAUUUAUAUUCAUUGAUUCUGUCUCCUUAUCUCUUCCUUCAAUCCAUGUGUCUUCAUUCAGUCCCCCUCCAGAAUGCACACCAUCCUCACUUCUGCUCAAAACGUUUUUACUAGAGGAACUCCUGCUCAGCUCAUAGUUCUUUGAAGAAAAUUUUCCUGCAGCCCCCCAAGAAUCUUUUGCAGAGAAGUUGCUUCUUGGAGAAACUGGCCCACGUCCUCUCCGGUUAAGGCUCGAAUCCCUAGACCUCAUAAAAGCAUCUCGUCUAUCAUUACUUUCACUGUCCUCGUCCUCUGACUCAUAGCUUGGGUCCAUUUUUGGAUCUGCAUGUAUUUCUGGAAUUUCCUCAAGUCUACGGUGACGCUCAUCGGGAGUCUUCAAGAGCUGUAGUUUCUCUACACAUUCUCUAAGUUCCUUCUUGCGCCCUUUCUCACUAGCUCGAUCACGAAGA